rnacentral:lncRNA from 1 species
CUGUUUUUGUUAUGAAGGCAUGCAUGGAGUAUGUAUGUGCCCACGGGCGACCUAGUUUUCUCUUGUAUACUUUGCUCUGGGGAUGAAGACGUCGAACUACUACGUUAAGUCAUGAAAUCAGCAACCCUUUGCAGUAUUCUUAUCCCCCCCCCCCCCAAUCUUUAAAUGCAACUAACCAGUCUUUUUCUUUUCCUUCCUAGGGUCAGCUGCUAAACUGUUACCCAUUGAGAAAACACAUUGUUGUCUGUGUGCUUGCUAAGGGGUUUAUCUAGCUCUGCUGCCUUGAUUACAGGAGCUCCUGGCUUGAAUUGGUCACCCUCACCAGAGUCUGAGAGAGCUGUGCCCGUGCGCUCCUGGCAUCUGACCUCGGCAACCUCCAGAAGAGGGCAUCCUCUGGAAGAGCAAGGCAGCCAUCUCUCCACAAGACUCUUUUUAAGUGCUGAGAGUAGAAGUGUGGACCACAUGCCUUUCCCCAGCCUAACACCGUUUUACAACAUGUCUGGAGUCCUAUUAUCUCAACAGGAGACCUUAGAGCAGGUAGGCACAGGAGCCCGUGGUCUGUGCACCAAGCUUCUGGGAUGGUUUGAUCUGAUCCCGUCGGAUCACUUCUGCCUUACUUGGACCCACACGUCAGUGGGAUGGGGAAUUUGCUGUUCCCAACGUGGCCAAGGCUCCAGUUAUGAUGUCAGAUGUGGGAAGUGGAGUGGAGCUGGCAGAUUGGCUGUCUUGUUUUGCGUCCACACACACCUUGUCCUGUGUCCUGCUCUCCUUCUUAUGGCUGAAUCAUAUUCCAGGAUACAGAACACAGGAGCCCUAAGUUUACAGGCUGCAGACAAAGGACCUGCCUUACAGCUUUCUCCUCUGCAUAUAUUUAGCCAGUCCCAUAUUUUAGAGACAGUCAACUGUUCUCUUCUAGCACCUGAAGAACUUUGUGUGUUAAAGACCAAGAAUCCCAGGUGUUCACCGCGUGGAACUACACCUUGGUUGAGGAAAGCCAGUGGGUUCAGAGAUUCACAAGGCUCGUAAGGGCAGCCCUGGGCCACAGUCUGGCUUGAGAAGAACAGCUAUGAGGAAGAUUCCUUGACGCUCAGAAGUGGAUGCACUGUUUCUCGGCCCUGUCUCCAGAAGGAUGGAACACCAUUCGGGUCCCUCACUCGUCGACCUCCUCUGCCAGAGGAGAGAAGGGGGCCGUCUAGCUCCAUCUUUUAUGAGUGUGCCUUCAAAAACCGGAAGCCACAUUCCUCAAAACACUCUGGGUAAACAGACAUGAGGUAGCACCGUGCUGAGACACGCUGCAGAUCCUGAGCUAUCAAUCUUGAACGGAGACUGCAAAGACACUCUCCCGUUACCCGUUCUUAGAAAUCACAUGGCUUAUGCCAUGAGACCAUAUGGCCAAGGCAUAGCUGAGACUUCAGCUUGUACCACUGCCAAGAAAGCUAGACACCAAGUGCCUAACUACUAAUGAAUCUGAGACUAAUGCAGAGACGCCUCCAAGGAUAGGGAAUUAAAGAGACCUCCAUCAGAACAGGUAGAUGCUGUAAAGGGUACCUGGCAGGGAGUGUUUGAAAGUAUUUACAGAAAUGUGCAAACGACUAUGGUGUUGAUUGGGGUGGGGUGGGGGGCGCAACAUGGGAAGGUGAUGUCUCUAAAAUGUAUCAGAGUUUCUGCAAUUAACAUUGAGGAUGAUAACAAGGCUUUUGAAGCAGAAGCAGGCCAGAACACUUGUGAAUGCUAAGCCCCAGGGAUCUGGCUAUACAGAAACAGCAGCAGAAGACACUGGCAUCUGGCAAGUGUCACCCAGGAGCUGACUUACUGGAGAGAAUAUUAGGGACCCAAGCCAGAUGAGAUUUUUUUUUGAAAUAUAUUUUUAAUUUGAGGAACCGGUUAGAACCUCUGCAUUCAAGUAGAGGAGUUGUAAUUUGGUGAUGUAGACAGUAAACAAACAAACAAACAAACAAACAAAAAAGCAUGCCUUUUGAAGGUCCAUUAAACUUUAAAAGUAUCAAGACAGAAUUGAUUCUCUAAUUACGCAGUGACAUUUGCACAAGUGGAUGUACAAUUAAGUGGCUUUCUAAGAUCUGAACUUCCAUUGGGCUUUUUAUUUCGUGUUGUGUCUGUCCUCGCUCGGGGAGGAAAACGCCACGGACCCAUCUUAGAAGCAGCAGGUGUGGAUGAACAGCUCCUUGGCAACUGUAUGGGCCACGAUACAGCCCUCGUCACACCUCCGGAUGGAGGCUUUUGUUACAGAUCACUGUCAGCCUCUGUGCAGACAGGAACCAUAUUGCCAAAAUCAGCAGUCACACAGCUUUCUUUAACAACUUCAAGUACCACACUAAAUAGCUGCCCUAGGGCUAGAGAGACGACUCCGUGGUUAAGAACACAGGCUGGUUUUACAGAGGACUAGGAUUCAGUUCCCAACACCCACAAGCAGGCUGACAACUUUACUUUACUCCAGUUCCAGGUCCUGGGCAGGUGCCUUUGAUGACUGUGGCAGAAUCUACACUCGAGCACCAUCUGAGCCUUCCUCCUGCAGCGCAAAGGGCAUCAUUACACCUCACAGCUUGUGUGUCUGUGGUUGAGUCUGGCUAGGUCCUCAAUCUUGGGGAUGGGGUACAAAUAAUGAAAAGCGCCAUCUCUCCCUUGGGGUUCUCCAUGAAAUAGCCCCAGGUUGUGGGCGUGCUCUUUGUGCGUUUCAAGAAUACCUGAACAAAGCAGGCCCUACGGCUCCAGAGAGCGUGCAGUAAGAUAGAAAAUAUCAGGAUCUUGGGAUAGCAAGUGCCCUCCACCCCCAUACUAGACUGUGCGGUGACACAGUGGAAAGCCACAGAGAUGGUGGACUGAAUGGUAACUCCUGUGACCCCAGCCAAUACAGGCACGCAGUUUUCCUUACCACCCAGUUAGACAAUGCAUCACCAUCUGCAUCCAGCUCACACCACAAUGAAAGCUCACACAGAGAGAAGCCGUUCAUCCAGAGCCAGACAGGAUAUGAUGCCUCUCUCUACCCAGUCCUGCCGGAAACCAUAUUCUUCCUCAGAGGAGCUUGCUAACAGCUAUUAGCCUGUAAUCCAGCUGUAUGGACAGAGAGCGAUGGGAAUUUAUUGGUGUGAUUGUUUCUCAGGCCAAGUGAGUGCUGCUAAAUUAAAAAGUUAAAAGACAUGGAGACACUUUCCACCCGGAAUUUCAGACCUUAGCUGAAAAGGGCUGAGUGAGAGAUUCCAUGCAGAAGGCAAAACAGUGGAGACAGAUGAGACGUCGCUGAACUGAAAGGAAGAUUCAUUCCAAAGAACUGAUAUGGAAAAGAUAUUCUCAAGCCAGAAGGGGACUUAACUCACAAACCAUCUCUCUCACCUCUCAGGCAGCUCCGGAGAGUGCAGAGCCAAUGGGUAAAGUGAGGAAACCCAGGGCCCGCUGUGGAGGGUCACGCUCUUUACACAGCAACCAGGCUGUUUUGGACAUGGUGUCGUGCCACGCCGUGGAGCCUGGGGACCAGCUCGCCUUGUCACAUGGAGAAGCCUUCAGGACGGUGCACACCCACCUUCAGGAUACUUCUUUCCCUCUCCCCUUCCUGGUACUCACUCACCCUCCCACUUUAGCUUCUUUUAAGAUGGACCCGUGUCAAAAGUUCCCAGGAAGAAAAAAAUUGUUUCUAAAAAAAAAAAUCCCUACAAUAUUAAACAGAACCAGAAC